rnacentral:rRNA from 1 species
AUGGAGGACGGUGCCGCUCCGCCCGGCCUCUCCUCCGCGGCAGGGGCGCCGCGGCGCGGGUGGUGGGUGGAGAAGGACGACGACGACGCGGUGUACCUGACGGUGCCGAUGCUGGGGCUCGGGAAGGAGCGCGUGAAGGUGUGGGCGGAGCGGAACAUCCUGGUGAUCAAGGGCGAGGGCGAGAAGGCGCCCCGGAAAGGCGACUACGACCCCGCGAUGUCAAGGUACAGCCACCGCAUCGAGAUGCCCGCUGGCGCGUACAAGAUGGACAAGAUCAAGGCCGAGAUGAAGAACUUCGUGCUGAAGGUGACCUUGCCCAAGCUGAAGGAGGAGGAGCGCAAGGACGUGUUCCAGGUGAAGAUCGAGUAG